GAUGAACGCUGGCGGCGUGCCUAAUACAUGCAAGUCGAGCGAACAGACGGGGAGCUUGCUCCUUUGACGUUAGCGGCGGACGGGUGAGUAACACGUAGGUAACCUACCUAUAAGACUGGGAUAACUUCGGGAAACCGGAGCUAAUACCGGAUAAUAUUUCGAACCGCAUGGUUCGAUAGUGAAAGAUGGCUUUGCUAUCACUUAUAGAUGGACCUGCGCCGUAUUAGCUAGUAGGUAAGGUAACGGCUUACCAAGGCAACGAUACGUAGCCGACCUGAGAGGGUGAUCGGCCACACUGGAACUGAGACACGGUCCAGACUCCUACGGGAGGCAGCAGUAGGGAAUCUUCCGCAAUGGGCGAAAGCCUGACGGAGCAACGCCGCGUGAGUGAUGAAGGUCUUCGGAUCGUAAAACUCUGUUAUUAGGGAAGAACAAACGUGUAAGUAACUGUGCACGUCUUGACGGUACCUAAUCAGAAAGCCACGGCUAACUACGUG
rnacentral:rRNA from 1 species